rnacentral:tRNA from 1 species
GUUCCGGUAGCUCAAUUGGCAGAGCGGCUGGCUGAAGCCCAGCAGGAGCAGGUUCGAAUCCUGCCCGUUUCACCA